ensembl:lncRNA
GUCAGAGCAGGCCUCUCACCUGGGCAUCUGACUUGUAUCUUGGCUACUGGUCCUUGGGGUGGAAACUGCCAACCUGUGUGGCUGACUAUGCCCCUUGGAGGGCUGACACCAGGCCUGGCUUUCCCCCAUCUGCUGAGCCCCCUACAUCUGCUGAUCCUGGCAGCCCCAGCUCCAUGAGGGGAGGCCACCUGCCUCCAGGGCCCAUUGUGAGUGGAGCUUUGCUUCUUCUUGCUCAUCUGUUAAUGUGGGAAGCCGUCUGCUGGCUUCUCCUGAUGCCAGUAAGGACAGAGCCUGUGUGCCGAGGACCCACACAGUGCAUAAAGCAGUGCUCAACAUAUCCUUCUGCCAGGGGCUGUGAUCAAGGGAGUGAUUGGGAGGUUCAGCUGGCUGAAGAACUGGGUGGCAAUCCAGCUGAAGGAGUGAAGGGGCCUCCAAGAACAGCUCAGCUGCAGGAUACAGGGUGUUUAGACCUAGGAGGUCUUCUUGGGGGAGGUUUACACCUGCUUCUGCUUACACCAACGAGUCUGUGGGCUGGACAGAUCACAGAGGCCUCACUCACAGGCCUGAGAGAUGGUGCCGGACAUGCCCCAAGGCCUCCAUGAGCUAGACCAGCCUCCUUCCCUGGUGUUCUCAGGGUGAUGCUCCAAGAGGGUGAAGUGGUGGCUGCACCAGACUCCAGAUUCAAACAUCACUUCAGCCACGUCCUGUUGGCUAAACCAAGUCAGAAGCCCAUGUGUGCUUGAGGGUGGGACCCACUCCACCUCUUCAUGGAGGGAGCCCAAAAAUCCUUUGCAGUCACAUUUGAUGGAUGAUGGGCAUCCCAGCAUUGGGGCAGUGUCUGUGGAGCGCUCACAUGUGCUUACUGAACACCUGGCUGUGGAGGGCUUCAGGAAGAACAGAGGCGAGAGGCAGGCAUCUUCAUGGGUGCAGACAGAUGAAAGAGCAGGACACAUGGAUGGGAAGUGCAGGGGCUCUGUGCAGUUGCAACAAGAGGAUGGGGGUGGGCUUGAGGAGCGAGAAGACUCUGGAUCUGAUUCUGAGGGUGACAGGGAUGGGGAAAGGCUCCAGAAGGGCAGAGAAGGGGAAGAGGACUGUUAGGAGCCAGCCAGGUGAGUGAUGGGGGAACCUGACCCUGCAGGGAGUUAGGGAGAUGGUGAGGAUGAGGAGAAAGCUAUGCAGGAGGUGGUGGGACUGGGCAUCCGUCUGCAUGGCCCAGCGAGGCACUCGGGGCACCCUCAGCUCUGGCCUCCCAUUCACUUUCUAUCUGUAGUGCCCCUUCCAGGAGCCCUUUCCUAGUUCCCAAGGGAUCUUCAGCGGGACUAUGGCCCCACAGCCACCCUGGCUCUGUCUCUUCAUCCCUACCCAGGCCAAGCCUCCAGCCCGGAGAGGAGAGAGAAGAGGAGAGAUCCUCAGAUCAAGAAGCCACUAGGGAGAGCUUUUAAAAAUGCAAUUAAAUAGAAAAUAAUUAAAUCCAAUUAAAAAUGAACCAUGGGGGAGUUCUGGGGGCCUCCAUGUGAAAGCUCAGGCUGUCUCCAUCCUGUGUUGGCAGCCUUCCCAGUGUUCAUGAGUCGGAUGUUUAAGGUGGAAUGAGAAAGGCCAG